UUUGUGGAAUAAUUUGUGUCUAAAUUCUUUUUGUUUUCUUGGCUAUUGAUGCAGUGUGCAUGAUCAAUCAUGUUUCUUCUCUUUUGCAGAUUAAAUCAGCUUUUGCAAUGGCAUUUACAACCUUGACAAAUCCAAAGACCAUCUUGAGCCUAGGGCCAAACAGAAGCAUUCUUGGUACAAUAAUUAGGCCAGACCUAGUCUUGCUGGAGCGCAAAGGAGGAUCUAAUGGUGAGAUAACUUUUAACAGCUUACUUCCUGGAGCAGGGGAGCCAUUACAAAUGUUGAGUACAUAAAAGCACCAGGUCGGCCAUGCUACUAUUUCCGCCCCAGCACGGAUCGCUUUAGCCAAGUGAUGCGAGCAGAACACGGGAGCAAACAUGAGCUGACCAGAGAUGAGAACAACCAGGAAAACAUACCGACCAUAGGUAUAUACCGAGCCGAUACUCAUCCCCAAGAAAGCGAGAACACGAUCCCACAGAAUCGCGGUAGUUGCGCUUUUCCCAGAACCGUUGAAGGGCACGCGAGACCCACGUUUGCCCACAAUGUAACAGUUAGAGCCCCAUGAGGGGCUGCCACCACCCGAAAAAGGAGGGAUACAGGGUAAACGGAAAACGGGAGACAGAGAGCGGCUAUAAAAGAGAAAGAAAUCGAUGAAGAAAGGAUAGAAAAACUGAGAGGGAAAACGCUGCCAAAUUGCAACCAGGCCAUUUCCUUACAAAUUUCUAACAAACUUCUUGAAUCCAAAUUACAUUGUUUUCCCGUAAACACCUUGUGCUAAUUUAGGCAUCGGAGGGUUUACGCCGGCAAAACCACCAGCGUCUCUAACCCAUUUUUGUGAACGCAGGUCUAGUGAGAGAAAUGAGGGUGAUUCCAGCCUUAGUGGUUCGAACAAACAUUUGAUAAUAUAAACGUUGGUGAAAGAAUCUGGUCGGUCCAAGGGCGAGCAGAUUUCAGCAUCAACAUUUUAGCGCCGUCUGUGGGGAGCUGGAUAAAAAGCUACCACCGAAUCAGUAAUUACUGGAGAAACAGCGAACGAUUAGAUAUGGAUGUGCCGAGAAAGGAUGCUUUGAGGGAGGAUAACGAAACUGUGGAGAGGAUGAGGCAAGACCGAUUGGAGCGGAUGGAGAAACAAAUGGAGACUCUCGCGACCAUACUGUAUGAGCUGAGGGAUGAGCGGAGAAAGAAUUGUGAAACCCCCGUGGGGAGAGAUGAUGUUGGAGCAGAACCCAGCUUCCGGAGGCGUAGAGUUGAGGAAAUCCCUCCGCCGGUAGACCAACUUAAUGGGGUGCAUCCCCACAGAAGCACUAGUCGGGCUUCAGGAGAACGAAUAGAUGAAGGGAGGGACCAACCUCGCCUCGGACGGGUACCGAAGAUUGAUGGCCGAGGGGCCAGUAUUGAUGAAGGAGAGCUCAGACAGCGGUUGCAAAACACCGAGCAGGAACGAGCUCAGAUAGCUACGCGUGAUCUUGACCGUGCCAUAGAAUUGUAGGAAGAAGUGCGCAGAUUAGCGCAAGUGAUAGAGGAGAUACAGGGCAAGAGAAAGCCCCCGAGCUGGAGGAUAAUGCUGGAUGAAGAAUCUCAACUAUCAGCUGUGAUCAUGGGUACCAUAAUCCCAAGAGAUUUCCGCUUCCCCGACCUCAAAUACUCCGGGCGAAGUGAUCCACUGGUGCAUAUUGAACGUUUCAACGACGUGACGGGUGUUCAAGGGUUAACACCAGCCCAGAGAUGUAGGGUGUUACCAUUGACACUGGAAGGACGAGCCCGAGAAUGGUACCGCAAGCUGUCACGAGGAAGUAUCAGAGGGUACGAGCAGAUGUGCCAAGAGUUGGCUGAACAGUUCCGAGGAGCAGUGGCCCUAGAGGAUGAUAUGAUGGAGCUAAUGGGAAUGAAGCAGGGGGAACAAGAAUCCCUUCGGAAUUUUGUAAAACGAUACCACCGAGCCGUGCUUGAUUUGGGGGCCUUCAAUCACCCGCAGGCGUUGAGGGAUUAAAGGAGGGAGUGAGGAUAGGCCGGCUAUGGUAUAACCUGAGAAGUCCCUUGGUACAGAAUUACUCAGCGGGGUAUGAGCAGGCAAAGAGAGACAUUGAAAUCGAAGAGGAAAAGUCGGCGAGGAUAAAAAGUGAACAGCUGGAGGAGCUGAGAAGAAAGGAAAGGAGAACCCCGAGUGGGAGCGGAUCGGGAAAGCGAGCUGGGGAAUCCUCAGCUAUGGGCGGAAUAUCAGCUCGGUCCCGUCCUUACCCUGUAGCUUUGAGACCACAACAGUUCCAACACAGCCGAGCCCAACGUCCGCGCACUUCAUUCCCGGAGCGGCAACGAGAAUUCAGGUAGAUGGCUGCCCGCCCUUAUCACAACGCUCCCAGAGCGUUACAUGCAAGUGGUUCCAGGGCAAGAAGACCAGACCAGCUAGCGACUAUACCAGCCCGAGAUGACAUUCAGGAUAGCCGAGCAGUUCAACUGGUAGACCAAAGCUUGGCAUAUAGACAGUACACUCCAUUGAAGAUCUCCAUGGAGGAAUUGUAUGAGAGGAUCGAAGGACGAGGCCUGCUGUACCCUCCAGCCCCUAUAACAAAACCGGCUCACCGACGGGAUAAGAACAGAUUCUGCAAGUUCCACGACACUCAUGGUCACACAAUCGACCAAUGUCGUGACCUGAAGAUUCAGGUGAAGGACUUAGUACGGAACCGGUACUUGGAUGAGUAUGUACAGGGGGUGUCCCCGAUCAUCGAAUCACAGUAUACACGGGAUGAAGAAGUUCAGAGGGGUCUGGGAGGUGAACAGCCGACCAUCCAUGUGAUAGCUAGGGGGCCAACAUUGGCUGGAGAUUCGAACAGAGCACGGAAGAACUAUGGGAGAUACGCCAUGAUUGGAAAAGAGGUGCUUCUAAAUUUGCCAGCGGCCAAGAAGGCGAAGGUACGGCAAGUUCCCAUUAUGUGGACGGAGGAUGACGAGGAGGGUAUUUUGUAUCCUCAUGAGGAUGCACUGGUGAUUAAAGCAUGGUGGCUAGCACAGAAUUGCAGCGAAUACUGGUGGACACGGGCAGUUCAGUUGACAUUCUAUUUAAGUCAGCCCUAGAUGAUAUGGGGAUUUUAGAUUUAAAGCUGGAGCGGACGAAUACAUCCUUAAAAGGAUUUGGAGGGGGACGAUUAACUCCCUUGGGGAUCAUUGAACUCCCGAUUACUAUGGGGACAAAGUCGUUUGAAAGAACGGUGAUGUUGGACUUCGUCGUGGUAGAGGAAAGAAGCCCUUAUCAGAUGAUAUUGGGGAGACCGUUCAUGAGGAUAAGCCAAUGCGUUGUAUCAACGCAUUAUUUGGCGCUAAAGUACAAAGUAAAUGGAGUGGUAGGCGUUGUAAAAGGCGACCAGAGGAUGGCAAGGAGCUGUUAUGCUACAGCAGCCAAGGAGACAUUACAGGUUACUUCUCUGGAUAAUCGAGGAGAUUCUAAAAAGGGUCGCCAAGAACCUGUUGAAAAGCUAGAAGAGAUUGUUAUAAGCAGAAGUGACCCGAGCAGAGUGGUUAAGAUCGGAUCAGGACUGGUCGGGACAGUAAAAGACGAGCUGGUAAAGUGCCUACAAUCCCAUGUAGAUAUAUUCGCCUGGUUUCACGGGGACAUGCCAGGAAUUGAUCGCAGGGUAGCUUGCCACAAGUUGGCAAUCAAGAAGGGGGCAAGGCCGGUGAGACAGAAGAGGAGAUGCUUUAACCAGGAAAGGUACGAGGCCAUAAACACCGAGGUGGAGAAGCUGUUGAAAGCAGGAUUUAUAAGGGAGGCCAAGUACCCGGAUUGGAUUUCCAAUGUAGUACUGGUGAAGAAGGCCAACGGGAAGUGGAGAAUGUGUGUGGACUUCACAGAUCUUAAUAAGGCGUGCCCGAAAGACAGUUUUCCUCUGCCAAAGAUAGACCAAUUGGUGGAUUCGACAGCAGGUCACAGUCUGCUCAGCUUCAUGGAUGCUUUUUCGGGAUACAACCAGAUACCCAUGGACGAGCAGGAUGAGAAAAACACCACCUUUAUAACUAAUAUGGAUUUGUUUUGUUACAGGGUGAUGCCCUUUGGCCUGAAAAAUGCAGGAGCUAUCUAUCAAAGGUUAGUGAACAAAGUUUUCAAACCAUUGAUCGGGCAUACUAUGGAGGUAUAUGUAGACGAUAUAAUCACAAAGUCCAAAGAACCGAGGGAUCACGUGAAACACUUGGAAGAAACCUUUGAAUUGUUGAGGAAGUAUGAAAUGAGGCUAAACCCGGAGAAGUGUGCAUUUGGGGUUAGCUCGGGCAAAUUUUUAGGAUUCCUGGUAAGCCACCGAGGGAUCGAGGCCAACCCGGAAAAAAUACGGGCGGUGACCGAAAUGAGAUCCCCACGAACAGUUAAGGAGGUGCAGAGCCUUAUAGAGAAGUUGGCAGCAUUAAACCGAUUCAUCUCGCGGGCCACAGAUAAAUGCCACCCUUUCUUCCAAACCAUAAAGAAAGGGAAAAAAAUAGAGUGGACAUCAGAAUGCGAGGAAGCGUUUGGGCAGCUGAAGGAAUACCUGACCCGGGCCCCAUUACUAUCGACUCCGAGAGAGGGUGACCAGCUACUGCUGUACUUAGCAAUCUCUAAAUGGGCUACCAGCUCGGUAUUAGUCAGGGAAGAAGAAGGAAAGCAACACCCAAUAUACUACACGAGCAAGGCCCUAGUAGAUGCGGAAACCAGAUACCCAUUGAUGGAGAAGUGGGCGCUGGCUCUAAUAACGGCAGCACGAAAACUCCGACCAUAUUUUCAGGCCCAUCAGGUUAUUGUGAUGACCGACCAGCCCCUUCGGCAAACACUUCAAAAACCAUAUGCAUCGGGUCGAUUAGUAAAAUGGUCCGUAGAGUUAAGUGAAUUUGACCUCUCCUAUAUGCCCCGAGGAGCAAUCAAAGCCCAAGCUCUGGCAGAAUUUAUGAUUGACCGAGCUGAUACAGGAGACGAAAUUCGGGAGGAGCAACCAACAGAGCAGGAGAAGCCAGAGGGGGUGUGGUUGGUAAUGGUUGACGGAUCAUGUAGUGAGCAAGGAUUCGGAGCAGGAGUUGUAAUACGGAGCCCAGAUGGAACCGAAAUAACGUAUGCAGUGAAGUUUGAAUUUCAGCUCACAAACAACCAAGCUGAAUAUGAGGCCUUUAUCACCGGGCUCGGACUUGCACACGCUCUAAAAGCAGAGAGGGUAGAAAUUCGAGCAGAUUCCCAACUGGUGUGUAAUCAGCUCAAUGAUCAGUUCCAAGCAAGGGGAGAGAAUAUGGGUCUUUAUUUGAAGAAGGCGAAGCAGAUGGUUGGGCUUUUCCAAGCGGUGGAGGUAAAGCAGAUAUCCCGGAAUGAGAAUUACCGAGCAGAUAUGUUGGCUAGGAUGGCUGCCAUUGCAGAUCCAAAAUUACCUAAGUCGGUUCUACUAGAGGUGAGGACCUCGCCAAGUAUAGAGGAAGAAGCAGAGGUGAUGAGAAUAAGUACUGGAGAAUCCUGGAUGGACCCGAUUCGCGCAUAUGUCCGCGAUGGAGUUUUACCAGAGGACAAAAGGCAAGCAAGAAAAUUAAAAUGCCGAGCAGCGAGGUAUAUGCUACUGGAUGGAGUGCUGUACCGCCGAGGGUUCACCUUGCCCCUUUUGAGAUGUUUGGAUGAUGAGGAGGCGGAUUAUGUGCUGAGGGAGAUUCAUGAGGGAAUUUGCGGCAAUCACUCGGGAGCAAGAACUUUAGCCUUCAAGGCACUCCGGCAAGGAUACUUCUGGCCAACCAUGCACCAGGAUGCGAAAAGGAUGGCAAAGAAUUGUAAAACAUGCCAAAGCUUCUCCGAGGUUCCUACACAACCCCCGGAAAAGCUGACGGCUAUGACAUCCCUGUGGCCUUUCGCUCAAUGGGGAAUCGACUUGAUUGGUCCGUUGCCUAAGGGACGAGGAGCGGCGACACAUACAAUUGUGGCAAUAGACUACUUCACCAAGUGGGUGGAAGUGGGAGUCCUCAGCCAAAUAACAGAGAGAAAGACAACAUAUUUUAUUUGGAAAAAUAUCAUCUGCAGAUAUGGGAUCCCCUACGCCAUCAUCACAGACAAUGGGAGGCAAUUUGACAAUAGCAACUUCAGAGAAUUUUGCCGAAACUUGGGAGUGGACCUGAAGUUCUGCACCCCGCACACCUCCAGGCAAACGGACAAGUGGAAGCAGCCAAUAAGGUGAUAAAGAAGCUCCUGAAGACUAGAUUGGGAGAGAAGAAUGGAGCUUGGGUUGACGAGCUACCAGGAGUAUUGUGGGCCUACAGGACAACUCACAAAACUGCCACAGGGGAAACCCCGUUCGCUUUAGUUUUUGGUCAAGAGGCGGUAGUCCCAGCAGAAGUGGGAGUGGGGACACAUCGGACGGAAUAUUUUACUGAGGAGCAAAAUGACGAGCAGAUCUGCUUAAGUCUGGACCUGCUGGAGGAAAAAAUGGAAGGUGCAUCGCAGAAAGUGGCCCAGUGUCAACAAAGGGUCAUGCGCUAUUACAACAAGAACGUACACGUGAGGCAGUUCCGAGCAGGAGAUUGGGUACUUAGGAAGGUGAACCAAAACACCAGGGAUCCUAACCAUGGCGCUCUUGGCCCAAAGUGGGAAGGCCCAUACCGAGUGAUACGAGCUACUGGACCAGGAGCAUAUAAAUUAGCGUACCAAGACAGACGAGACGUGAAGAGGUCAUGGAACACCGAACACCUGAAGAAGUAUUUCCAGUAAGCAAAAUGCUCUAUUAAAUCCUCACUCUGGCAAGUUAUUUCUGUUACAAUGCCUGAUGGCCUGUUGCACAUGCAUAUAUUCUGUAUUUUUGUAAUACAUUCAAAUUUCAAUAAAGAUGAAUUCAGCAUGAAAUCCCCUGCUAGCGAGCCUAAUAAGAAAUUUUUUACUAAGGCAACAAAGUGCCUGUUUCUGCUCGGUCAACGAAAGACCAACAGCUAAAACUUCAAAAAUUUUACUAAGGCAAGUAAGUGCCUGCUUCUGCUCGGUCAACGAAAGACCAGCAGCUAAAUUCUGAAAAAUUUUACUAAGGCAAGUAAGUGCCUGCUUCUGCUCGGUCAACGAAAGACCAGCAGCUAAAUUCUAAAAAAUUUUACUAAGGCAAGUAAGUGUCUGCUUCUGCUCGGUCAACCAAAGACCAGCAGCUAAUUUCUCAAAAUUUUACUAAGGCAAGUAAAUGCCUGCUUCGGCUCGGUCAAGGAAAGGCCAACAGCAAACUCUACGAAUGUUUCUCCAAGGGAAGCAAAUGCCUGCUCCUACUCGGUCAUCAAUAAACCAGUAGAUAAUUUUACAAAAAUGGUGAUCAGGCAAAUAAAUGCCUAUUCCUGCUCGGUCCACCAAAGAACCAGCAGGCAAAAUUAGAUAAAUUGUCAAGUUAAUUUGCAAAAAAUAAUCCAUGAGCAAACACCAGACAAGAGAGCCAAUGGAAAGCAGCUAGAAAUUUUAUAAAUGAUUAAUUGUUUACAAGACUAAUGGAACUUUAAAGUCUAUACAAAAAUAGACCUAAGAAUUAGGAAGGUCGACGGCUUCAGCAGGUGAAGGAUCAGCUAUCUCAGGAGGUGGAAGAUCAGCAAUACUGGGAGGAGGCGGCACGGACCCUUGUCCCACUUCAAAAGCACGUCCCCCAGCUCCCCCCUCCUGCACCCCAUCCAAAGGAGCCUCCGCCUGAUCCUGCUCACCCUGCUCCUUAUCUCCCUGGCCGACCUCAGCCAUAUACCUCUCCACUCCAGCCUCCAGUUUGCUCAUGUCCAGUUCGGGAUAUUCUUCCUUGAGCACGGACAUAAUGCACUUAUAGCUGAAAGCAACUCUAGAGUCGUACUCGGCAUCCAGCCGAUCAUCCACGUCAGCGGAUUUGCCCUUCGCUUCGGCCAGCUGUUCCUCCAGGGAUUUGAUUUCCCCCUCAAGGGCGGUCCUCAGAGUAUCCCUUUCACUUUGGGCAGCCUGAAGAUCAGACUUCAAGUCACCCAACUCGCCCUCAAGCUUGGAGGUAGUGGACUCAGUAAUUGCAACUUUCUCCUCCAGCUCCGUAACCUGCUUGUUCAGCUCGGCCAGCUUCUCCUUCGACCGAUCAGCAGACUCGACCCGCUUCUUCAAGUCCUGAUUUUCAGCUUGGAGUUUCCUUUCAUGGCGCGUGACCCUGUUCUUGUAGCAGGAAACUAUGGUAGCCAGCUUGAAGGAGACCCUCUGGACAGAACCAGCUAAUUCAUUGAGAUUCAUACUCUCAAUGUCUUGAACCAUUUUCGGUCCCAUUGACUUCCCAUAAUCCCUCUGAUACGGGGUCAAGUAAUCACCCUGAUCACGAGCCGGAAGAGGGGAAGAUCGAUCCCCGGAGCGAGUGCUGACCUCAGAACUUUUUUCAGCAACUUUCUCCCCACCACUCUUACGAGGUGGGGGAGGGGGCAAAGCAGGAACAAGAGCCUUGGAAGGGCCGACACUGGACUUCUUUGGAGGAGGAGGAGGAGGAUUGCUGGAGCUGCUCGAAGUCCGACCACGCUUUCUGGUCAUAGCGCUGAGAAUCUUGCUAUCCAUCCCAACAGCUAUGUCGACUAAGCCCGAGCCGACCAGAUUGGUUGACGACAAGAGGUCUUGACAGGUAGACGCGUUCAAUAGAGUCGUUUCCACCUGAAGCAAAUGUCGAUCCUCAAGCCCCCCGAUCAAACCCCACGACUCUGAAAUAGCAAAGAAGGUUAAAGAACCCAAUAAGUGGCAGUUUGAUUAAGAAUUUAGGCAAAAAAUGAACGACUUGGGGUGACAAAAUUCGUGGGAAGGUAAAUAUCACCACCCAACGAAUGAGCUGCCGGACACCAAUUUCCCCCAGCAAAGAAGAAUUUGUUCUUCCAAUUUUUGCACGAGGAGGGGAAGCCGGUGAUUGGUUUCCUCUUCGCAGAGCUCGACAUGAAAUAAUACCAGCCUGCUUCCUUCGGGCUACUCCUCAGCUGGUAUAGGUGCUUCACUUCAACAAGGGAGGGCUCCUCUAAUCCACACCUCUCCCACAACACAUACAUAGCCGAGAGAACCCUCCACCCGUUGGGAUGUAGCUGACCUGGGGCCAGGUGCAUACCACCUAGUAUCUUAGCAAAAUAGCGUUGAAGGGGCAGCCGAGCUCCUAAUUUGAAGCUCUCCAGAUGCAUCGUCACAUACCCCCGCGGAGGUCGAUUGGGAAUGUCACCUUUCCCAGGAACUACCAGGAGAACAUCCGCAGGAAUGUUGUAAAGGUUCCUCAGCUUGAACAGAUCAGUUUGGGUGGUCGCACAAGCUGUGAAGUCAAUAGGGUAAGAAUCCGCCUCCACCCUAUGACCAAGGUGCCUUCUCUAAGGGGGUCUGCUCGGUCCGGAACUACUCCCCUCACCAUCACCAACUCCUUCAGGGACCCCAACCCCACCAUAGCUGUGGUUCUCACCAGAGCCCGACGCAGGUCCACCUCUAUUCCCUACAAGCUCUAGUUCGGGGGAGGGAGAGACAACCAGGGGGCGUGGGUACUCAAGGGUAUCCCUGCCAUGGGAAGGACCUAUACUACUGGAGGGACCUAAGAAAUCGGUAGGUAUUGGCACAUUGAGGCCUGAAUCCCCUGAUUCUUCAUCACCCUCAUCAACAAUUAACUUUUUUUUCCGGUUUGACAUAUCGAAAUCCCAAAAGAAAAACAAAGAAAACUCGAAUAUACGGAUACAACAGGGGGGCAAAACAAAACCCAAUCAACAACAACCAAAGCAGGAGUUAAAGGUUGUACCUGGAAUACACUGGCACUGAUAAUGUUGUUGUGAUGAAGGUAAAAUCCCGCAAAUGGAAGUCCCAGACGCAGAGAGUGUGAACGAAGUUCGUAGGAAUUGACUCGUGACAGAAGAAUGAAUAGAACGAAACAACGAGGAUUUAAGUCUAGGGAUUUGAAGCGAAAAGGGAAAUGAAAGCAUUUACGUGAGGGAGAUGCCAGCUCACUCACCAAAUAUCGAGGACAGAUAGCCUGUCGUUUCAAAUUUCAAAUGCGAAGAGUCUGGAAAGGCCACGUCACUAACCGUUACAAGAGGCCAACUUAGAUGAAAGCCCAGAUAGGCAAUGGAUACACUCAUUCAGGCCCAUGUUCAGGUCAGGAACCCCCCAGAAGAAGAAUGAUGCCUCAGGUCAGUUCCAAUAAACAGAAGAUCAGAUGAGAAGCUCCCCGGGUUGGUAAGAUUUGACCAUCAGUUUCUACUCUAAACUCAUUUCACUCGCCAGACCAGAAACUGGGGGACUAGUGUUAAGUACAUAAAAGCACUAGGUCGGCCGUGCUACUAUUUCUGCCCCAGCACGGAUUGCUUCAGCCAAGUGAUGCGAGCAGAACACGGGAGCAAACAUGAGCCGACCAGAGAUGAGUACAACCAGGAAAACAUACCGACCAUAGGUAUAUACCGAGCCGAUACUCAUCCCCAAGAAAGCGGGAACAUGAUCCCACAGAAUCGCGGUAGUUGCGCUUUUCCCAGAACCGUUGAAGGGCACGCGAGACCCACGUUUGCCCACAAUGUAACAGUUAGAGCCCCAUGAGGGGCUGCCACCACCCGAAAAAGAGGGAUACAGGAUAAACGGAAAACGGGAGACAGAGGGCGGCUAUAAAAGAGAAAGAAAUCGAUGAAGAAAGGAUAGAAAAACUGAGAGAGGGAAAACGCUGCCAAAUUGCAACCAGGCCAUUUCCUUACAAAUUUGUAACAAACUUCUUGAAUCCAAAUUACAUUAUUUUCCCGUAAACACCUUGUGCUAACUUAGGCAUCGGAGGGUUUACGCCGGCAAAACCACCGGCGUCUCUGACCCAUUUUUGUGAACGCAGGUCUAGUGAGAGAAAGGAGGGUAAUUCCAGCCUUAGUGGUUCGAACAAACAGUCGAUAAUAUAAAUGUUGGUGAAAGAAUCUGGUCGGUCCAAGGGCGAGCAGAUUUCAGCAUCAACAACAAACACACUUUGGAGAUCGGCAGGAGAUUAUGUGCAAUUGGCAGUCAGAUUAUGAAGAAGAGUCAUUUCCCCGUGGAAAUGGUAGUGUGCAGUCUUCUGGUAAAAAGAGGAAAUCUUUUUCUAAAGAGAAGUCUACCAGUAAGAAGAAGACGGAAGAAACUGGGGAGUCGAAAAGCCGUGAAGAAGGUGGCUAAAAGAAGGAGAAGAGUGGUAAAAUGAAACGUUGGAGACAAAACCGAGGUCAUGCAAAUGGUUUUAGCUGAUAUAUUGGUGGGUGCCCAUGGAGUUGUUAAUCCCCUUUCAAGCUUGCGCUUUGGCAUGUCUACACCAUUUUUGUAUCAAGUUUGCCACAGUGGUUUUUCUUGAUGCAUUCGGUCAUUUCAUCAAUCCUUGCAGGAGGAAUGGAAAUGAAGAAUGCCACAUAGUUUCAACAUUCAAGUGGCAAUCGUGCUGCUGUUGGGAUGACUGAGUAUAUAUGAAUCUGAACUUGAAGGAGCCCAAAUAAGUUGGAGAAAUUCAUAUGCGUUCAAUCAAUUGGGAAUUUUGACAUUUGAAAAGUAACCACAAGCAGCCAGAGGAGUUUGCAGAGCACAAUGUGUCCAUCUAAUCGAUAGUUUUGAUGUAUUAUUUCAUGUGUUGCUCAACCGAUUGUUUUGGCUUAUAUUCAUGUAUGUUCAUUCAUUCCCUUAUUGGUGUAUUGAAAGAAUUAAUAAAACAAUCAUUUUUUCUUCCCAUAAUACAUGUGCUUUGCAACAGGUAAUGGGGAGUUUUAUUACUGUUCAUUUGUUCUUCAUAAACUGCACAGAAAAGAACCUUCACAGUCGAUAUUAUUCAGGUCAAGUUUUCUAUAGCUUUUAUAUGUACAUAGGCUUUGAGAUUAACAAUCCGUGUCUUCAAAGUUUACGACAUUUAAUGUUUAAAGAACCUAAGAAUUGUCUUCAUGAAUACAGUACGGAUACUUAACAUGCAAUUAAGAGCACAGAAUGAAAAAGAAGAAAAGCCUCAAUCGAUAUAUACACGGCAAGGCAACACAUGCUGAAGAGUGGACUGGAGACUCAUAAGCAUAAUACCUGCUCCUUUUCCUUUUAUUCAUUUGAUAAUGACGGGUCAGAAUUUCUAUGCUACAUCUUCUAUCAUUCUGGGUUAUCUGGAGGUCAAUUGUCGUAUCUGAUCAGUUGACGAGCAAUCAAUCUCCAUGGCAAAGUUUGUUUCAUCACCAAUUGGUCGUGCCUGCACAACCAACAGUAUCAAUGGCAAGCUAUCAUCAACCAAAGGUUGUUUCAUAUUUGUUCAACUCGAUCCAUAACUGGGCAAGCAAAUUAAGCAUGGUUUUACAACCAAUCUGUGCAGUGUAUGAUCAUAACCAACAAGAUAACAUGUACACGGACACGAGGAAAGAAAAUUAUUGAGUGGUAAAGUUACGAUAUUUAUAAUUAUAUCUAAAUAUAAUUAUACCAAACCUCGUGAAGAUAUUUAAAAAAAAAGUAAUGUGAGUACCUCUGAUUUGACAUGCACUGAUCCAUUUUGGUCAACUGAAAAUCUUGCUGCAAUUCUUGGGCCAAUUGUCACCCUCAAAUGGGUUAAUGAUGGAAGUAUCAAGUGACAACCCACUGGGCACAAGUGAACGAGUUUUGGUAAAUUUCGAAGAUUCAAUCGCUGGACACCAGGUAGCACAAUUUCUUUGCACUCUUCGACAGCAUUAUCUCCAACAAAGAUUUGCUCCAACUUUUCACAACCUGCAAUAUCUAAUUCUUUCAGCUGCUGAAGAUUUCGAGCUACAUUGACAUGAAACAGACUUUUCAAAUUGUCGCAUCCGAAGACAUAUAUCUCUAAGAGAUUUGAGAAGCACGCCGCUUGCUGAUGCUGUUCCUCUUCUUCAUCAUCUUGAAAGAUGAUUUGCUCCAACUUUUCACAAAAUGAAAUACGUAAUUUUUUCAGCUGUUGAAGAUUUCGAGCUACAUUGACAUGAAAAAAACUUUUCAAAUUGUCGCAAUCGGAGAUAGAUAUCUCUAAGAGAUUUGAGAAGCACGCAGCUUGCUGAUGCUGUUCCUCUUCUUCAUCAUCUUGAAAGAUGAUUUGCUCCAACUUUUCACAAUAUGCAAUAUAUAAUUUUUUCAGCUGCUGAAGAUCUCGAGCUACAUUGACAUGAAACAGACCUUUCAAAUUUCCGCAUCCGAAGAUAGUUAUCUCUAAGAGAUUUGAGAAGCACGCCGCUUGCUGAUGCUGUUCCUCUUCUUCAUCAUCUUGAAAGAUGAUUUGCUCCAACUUUCCACAACUUUCAAUAUAUAAUUUUUUCAGCUGCUGAAGAUCUCGAGCUACAUUGACAUGAAACAGACUUUUCAAAUUGUGGCAAAAGUAGAUAGUUAUCUCUAAGAGAUUUGAGAAGCACGCCGCUUGCUGAUGCUGUUUCUCUUCUUCAUCAUCUUGAAAGAUGAUUUGCUCCAACUUUCCACAACUUUCAAUAUGUAAUUUUUUCAGCUGCUGAAGAUCUCGAGCUACAUUGACAUGAAACAGACUUUUCAAAUUUUCGCAUCCGAAGAUAGUUAUCUCUAAGAGAUUUGAGAAGCACGCCGCUUGCUGAUGCUGUUCCUCUUCUUCAUCAUCUUGAAUGAUGAUUUGCUCCAACUUUUCACAACGAUAAAUAGAUAAUUUUUUCAGCUGCUGAAGAUCUCGAGCUACAUUGACAUGAAACAGACCUUUCAAAUUAUCGCAUCCGAAGAUAGUUAUCUCUAAGAGAUUUGAGAAGCACACCGCUUGCCAAUGCUGUUCCUCUUCUUCAUCAUCUUGAACGAUGAUUUGCUCCAGUGCCGAGCAAGAGCUAAUACUUACAACUUUCAAUUUCGACAGAUGUCGAGCAAGAGUCGUUGAGAAGAUACGUCUAAGUUUAGGGCAAUUCUUCACUGAUAGAAUGGAUAGAUUUUGCAGGUUUAUGAAUUGCGAGGGACCUUUCCAUAUACAUUCUAGUUCGGGUAAAGCAGAGAACCUAAGAGUCUUUAAACUUGGGAAUGAUAAGAAAUGUUCUCCUUCUCCUCCAUCAAAUUCAAAACCCUCAGGUUGAAAUACCACUUGUGUUAAACAACCUGCAAUUUCUAGAAGCUUCAAAUUUUUUAAGCCAUGCCGCAUCCGAGCAAUAUUAUUUACCUUCAGAAACUUCGAAUCCUGGGAAGACAAAUCAAUCCAUGAAAUUAAAAUCUGUUGUGUUGAAAUUGAGAUAUGAGACAACUACGCCAGGAAAAAAAGAAAAAAACAAUAAAUAAAACAAAGGAUGAAGGGACCUCAAAUUGGUUUUCGCUCUUAAAAGCUAUUGCUAUUUGUAAAACAGGCUUGGUUUCAUUUGGUUAUUAAUAAUUUUUCCGUUUUGCAAAAGUAAGUUAGUGGUUAUUAAUAACUUAUAACCUUAUUCUCUAUUCUUCUCUGAAAAAUUGCUAGAUUAAUAAAUUUUGGAACAAUAAUUCAACUUAAUCUUAAUUAGCCCAUGACUAGUUUAAAAAAAAAAAGGCUAAUGAAUAAAACAUAGAAAUUAUCUCCAUGACCAUGAACCUAUAUAUAAAAUUAUCAAUGUUAUAAAAAAAAUUAUUGUGCAUUUUAUAAAAUUAAGAUGAUAUGUUAAUAUAUAAAAUUUACAAAUUAUAUAAUAUAUAAAAUUUACAUUAUAAAAUUGAAUUCGUUUUGUGCUUUUUAUAAAAUUAAAAUGAUAUGUAAAAGUUAAAGAGCGAUAUUAUCAUUUAGAGAAAAAGAUACCUAUACCCUCAAGAUUUGGAGAAAUGACAUGUAAACCUUUAAGUUUUCAAUAAGGGUCAACAAGAUUCCUUUCUAACUAUAUUACCCUUUCUCUUUAUUAACUCAUAAAGAUUUACUCCAAUGCUUUAUAAUAAAUAUAAAUAUAAUAUUAAAAUAAAUAUAACAAUAUAUACAUUUUAAAACACUUUCAAUAUUUAAAAAAAUAUUUUAAUACUUUACAAUCUUAUUUAUUUUAAACUAGAUUUUAUAAUAAAUAGAAACAUAAUAUUAAAAUAAAUACACAAAAUUAAUUUAUUUUCAAUAUCAUAUAAAAUAAUUUAAAUAUUAUCAAUACAUGAGAUAUAUUUUAUUAAUUGUAAAAUCUAUUUAACUUAAAGAUUUUAUUUAAAAUUUUAUAAUAAAUACAAAUAUAUAAUUAAAAUAAAUAUAAUAACUUACAUUUUUAAAAUUAUUUUAUAUAUUAAAAAUUAUUCCAAUAUUGUUAGUCUAGUAGACUAAUUAAACAUUUAAAUUAUAUUUGUAUUUAUUUAAAAAAUUUAAAAUUAGUUCGUUCAGUUAAUAUAUACACCGAUAUUAUACUCAAAAGGGAGUCUUUGUGUCUUUUAUUAAAAAUUUAAAGGUUUACGUAAUCAUUUCCUUAAACCUUAAGGGUGUAGGUCUCCUUUUCUUUAUCAUUUAUUUAAAAGGUUUGACAUAUAAGAAGAGUAUAUAUAUUGUUUAAAACAUAUAAAAAAUAAAUUUGAAGGUUUACAUAAUCAUUUCCUUAAACCUUAAGGGCGUAGAUCUCCUUUUCUUUAUCAUUUAUUUAAAAGGUUUGACAUACAAGAAGAGUAUAUAUAUAGUUUAAAACAUAUGAAAAAUAAAUUAAGUAUCGACAACUCAAAGAUUUUUAUAAUUUUAGAAUUAUUUACUAAGGAUAUUUAUAGGUGUAUAUGUAUAUGUAUAUGUAUAUGUGUACACACACACACACUUAUAUAUAUCUCUAAUCAUUCUCAGGUUUGAGCACUUUUUUUUUUAAUGCAGACAUACUGUUAAACCGUGCGGCUUAAGAGAAUUAAUUUUCAAUAUAUUAUAAAGUCAUUUGGUUUAAUAGCUUAAAAUUGACUAUAUUAAACUCCACAGGUUAAAAGUGUGUCCUCAUGAAAAAAGAAUACAUAUAUAAGCAUUCUCAGGUGUGAGCACUCUCAUUUGUUUUAAUGCAGACAUACUGUUAAAUCGUACAACUUAAUAGAAUUAAUUUUCAAUACACUAUAAAGCUGUGUGAUUUAAUAACUUUAAACACCAAUUAUAUUAAACUCUAUAUCUUAAAAGUGCGUUCACAUAAAAAAAGAACGAGGGCGCCCGCAUUUUAUAUACACACAUGCGGUGACGCUAUCACUCAUUGUAAAGAUUUAUAGAUGUGGGGGUUUAGGCGUCAAUUAAUACUUGGCAUGUCCCCAGGUUAUGCUAUAAAUUUUGACACCAAUCGUCAUAUGUAAUAAUUUGAGAAUAGCCCCCAAUUUAUCAAUUUGAAUGGUAAAACGUUACAAACUUUUUAUUCUGAAAGAAUGAAAACAAUAAAUUUUAAAUAAAUUAGAAAUUGUGAAAACAUACCUUGCCUGGUGCUUCAAAAACAGUGAAAGACGGACUCGUGUUGCGACACUCUUGUAUCGUCAACUCCUGUAGAGACGGCCACGUUGAAUAAUAACUUCCUUCAUAGAAGCCCAUGAAAUUUGGAAGUACACUAAGAGCUAAUUUUGUGAGCUUAGGAAGCACGAUAUGGCUUCCCUCCCGAACAGGCAUAUUGUUAUCUGCGACAACAAUGUGCUUCAUCAAGCUGCAGUUCCCAACAGAGAGUAUCUCAAGUUGCAUCAGGCUUCGAGCAAGGGACACUGUGAAUAGACACGUCAACGCAUUGCAAUCACUCACCUCUAGAGUUUGUAGAGUAUGACAGACUUCUUUGAAUGCAUUAAAUGAGGUUAAUCGAGAGCCUCGGAUUUCUAUGUGUCCUUGUGAACCUGUUUCGCUAAAAUGCGAGGGAAAAUAUGGAGAAUCAUCCAUGCCAUAGUCACUAGGCAACACACUGAUGUGAUACCUUAUCAAUUUAGGAAAGGUAAAGUCCUUUGGAAUGCAUUUAUCUUCUAUUCUCAGUGACAGCAUGGUCAAGUGAGAUAGUGAAUUCAGCUCGUAGAGGCUAGCUUUACUUAUCUCUGCACCUGUCCCUUCAACGUUCCAAGUACGGAAGCUAUCAUCACCAAUGUACAAUUCUUCUAAUUGAGAUAAACUCCGUAUCAAAUUGGCAGGAAUUCCUCUCAACCAUCUACAGUCACGUAAAUCCAGCUGUCUCAGCUCACCAAGCUCCCCUAAUUCUUUUGCCAAUUCAUCAAUAAAACAAUAUCUCAAACUAAGAAUCUCAAGCCUGCUCAGUGUCCCGAUGGAAGAUAUGUCUUUUAAUCUGCAAUCAUCUAGGCAUAGAGAUCGAAGAUUUGUCAAGAAUUGAAGUGACUUUACCGACAUGACACCACGACGUAAAUGAACAACUUUUAGGGCUUUCAUCUCUACAAAAAAUUGAUCUGAAACUUCCACUCCACCCAUAAAUUUACAAUCCAAUAACAAAGUUUCAAGCUUUGGAUAUGCCAAACUAACAGGAAGAACUUCUAAUUCGUUGGCCAUCAACGAGAUUCCUGCGUAUUGUUCAAGGCCUUUAUCUUUUGGCCAUUGUUUCAAUCCCAAGCCAGCCUUACUAAAGAACUUCUUCUCCUCAGAUGCUAUCCAUACGGCCACAUCCCGAACUAUGUCAUGCAUUUUCACAAGUUCUUCAUUGCCACCAUCUAAUAAUAAACAAGAAGCCUUGAGGUGAUUAAUCGUUACACGCAAUUGGCUCCUUGCUUCUUCAAUUGUGUUGGCAUCUUCGAACAAACCUAGCCCCUUUCCAUAUAUGACCAAAUUCCCCAAAGGAAUUUCAUAAUCUUCAGGGUAUAGUGAACACAACAAAAAUAAUAAUUUUGUUUUCUCAUCCUUCAAAUAAUCGUAGCUCAAUUUAAGAAGAGCAUAGAUGUCAGCAUCCACAUCCUCUACAUUCACAAAUUUCGAAUUUUUCAUUGUUUUCAACACUACAUUCCAUUCAUCAAUAGCCUUUCCUUUCAGAGCACUUCCUAUAGUCACAAUUGCUAAAGGCAGACCCUUGCAUUCUCUAGCUACUUCUUUUGCCAAGUCAUUUAACGUCGGCAAUUCAUCACCUAUACAUGCAUUUCUUUUAAACAAAUCCAAACCUUCUUCUUCCACCAGAGCAUUCAAUGGAAUUUGCGACUCACACCCCAUGGAAUGACAUACUUGUUUCCGGCGGGUAGUUACAAGAAUUUUACAACCAUCACCAAAGGGAACUCCGAUCUUUUCCAGCACGAGUUUUUCCCAAACAUCAUCCAAUAUAAUGAGGAUCUGUUUCUUACCUUUCAAUCUCUUCAUCAAUCGUCCUGCUCUUCCAGCGUCACUCUCCUCGUCUAAUUUCAAGCCUAAUGAGUCUGCCAUCUGACCUUGUAUAUUUCUGACAUUUGGAUUCUGAGAUACAGCAGCAAACACAACCUCUUCAAAAAUAUCCAAUUCCAGCACUUUCUUAGCUACUUCUUUCGCCAUGGUUGUCUUACCGACACCUCCCAUGCCGUAAAGCCCAACCAUGUUGAUCUUAUCAUCUUUCAUCGCUUCAAUAAUCUUAGCAAAAGUAGAUUUUGUAGACUCGAAUUGUACAAAAUCUGUCGAUGAAAAGAAUUCAAUGCCUGGUGGAAUGUGCCCCACUCUGUCGAACUUGCCUCUGUUUACUAGAUUCAACAAUUUGCCUGUCAUUUUUUCUGCUUUUCUACUCAAUCGAUAUCGCCAAGCCAAAUUAGGACACAACCCACUGAGACAUGUCCUAUUUGCUUGUAUUUCUUCUUCUACCUUUUGAACGGCCGUUAUGAUGUCGCGCACUUCGUCAAGCCACUUUUGUACAUCUUUCUCGAUAUCUUCAGCAUUUCUUUCGGCUAUUGUAACUUCUAGCUGCACACGAUCUAAUGCCAAUCUCAAAUUUUUAUCCUCGUUCAUUAAACUUUCAACGUUGCUUUUGAAACGAAAUAAGUAACCGACUUGGUGUAUGGUUGCUUCCACCAAGUAUUCUCCAAUUUUGGAUAAAGCACCAUUCGAAAUUUCCGUUGCCAUUUCAAGCCUAGUUAAUAUUAAAAGUUCAUUAGGAUAAAUGCAACCCAAGCAAGUUAAUUAUAAAAAUUAUAGGAUUUGAGAAUGUUGGAAACUUUGAAUUAUACCUUGUUUCAGUAGAUGCACAAGUGGAAAAUUGCAACCUGUGGUGUGGAUAAUAAUUAAAGCAAAUGCCACACCCACAGCCUAUAUUAAGAGUUCAUUAGAAUUUAUAUGAAGUCAGAAAAGUGACAUAGAUUGAAGAAAAAGAGAAAAGUUUCGGCAUACUUUUUUUUUCCCCUUCCUUUUGUAAGUGAAAGACUACGAAAUGACGAUCUUGAAUUAAUAUUUUAGGAACAAAAACACACUGACCGCCUAUCUGCCAUUAAAAAUGAAGUAGAAUGUAAAUGAUGCAAGAAAAGCAGCAAAGAAGAGAAAAAGAUAAGCUAAAUUACAUACACAAUGCAUAUUAUCAAGCUUUCAUGAUGUUCCAAAAUGGCAUGUGAAUGGAGCAGAUUCAUAAGUGUUCUUACAUUUCGGAAAGAACUACCAUGGAUUCAGCUCCAGUUGCAAUAGUUAAAGCAUAAACCAGUUUAUUUUGUUUCUAUUCAAUGUUUUUUUUUAAAGUAUAUAUGUGUAUACAAACUUUCAUCGAUCCGCAUCAUAUUACUCAACACUAUUCUUUGUUCUCAAGCUUUUAAUUUUCUUCUCCUUGAAAUAAAUAUGUGUAUCAUUUAACACAUCAGAUUAAGCUCCUGACUCUUAUUUUAAUUAACUAAUUAGCGCGUACAAGUAGUUCCCCAUACCUUCUGUAAGGAGAUAUUCUCAGUCCCCUGCAGAACUUCACUUGGUUACCAAUUACCAGCACAUAAAAAUCCAAACAACACGGGAUUACUUCAAACUCAGUAGUAUCCUGCAAAUGCAAGGGAACAGUGGAUGUCAUUUGUCCAUCUGUAAACCAUUAAAUGGUUAAAAAUUGAGAGUAAGAAUUCAUAGCAGUCUAUGAAACAGUUGUAUCAGUGACAAUCAUCCAAGUUUUUGUUGCAUCUCUCGAGUUUUCUAUUAUUCUCCAACGUCUUACGUAAACAUCUUAACCGAAAAAUUUAAUUAAUUACGCUAGCAUUGGAAUUAAAAGAUAAAAUCUUAGUAAAUUGUAAAUUUGACUAUUCUUAAGUUGUUGGAUAAACCACUUGACCGAUCGAAAAGGUAAAUCAAAUAUUAGAACUAUUAUUAGUAGCUAAGCCACUACACGUGGAAAUGUGGAAACGAUAUGUAUUAUUUAAAAAUUAUGCGGAUCCCAACUAUUCUGAAGAGAGAAAAUUUUUAUUUGUCUUCGUGAAAAAUUGUGCAAUGUAGAUGACUAUAUAUACUAGUCAAUUAAUGAAUGGGUAAUAAGGCAUAAAUAAAUAAACAAAUGUAAAUAUACGAUAUUAAUUAGUUAAUGCUCAUACCCGAAUUGGCUAGCUCUCUGGUAAGCAAUAAGCACGAAGAUGAAGAGAAAGUAGAAUUUGGCUUAGUCAAGCUUCUUGAUGAGUUAAAUAAAAACAUUUUGUUCCAAGAUGAAAGCUGCACCUUUAUGGCAUUAUCCUUGGGAAGAGUAAUCAAGAGUGAGCCGAGGUAGAUAAUAGCUUAGAAUAUAUGUUGAAGAUAAUCAGUUUAUUGGAGGGUAAAUCGAAAUUAAUCAGUCAAUUAAUCUUGCGGGUAGCUAGCUAGACACUAACAAGUGACAAAGAAUGGAAUUAUAAAUUAUAUUAGGCCAUUAACGCUUUACACAAUCAGUUAAUAUUAUCAAGCUUUCUAUGAAAUGAAGUUGUAAAUGCAAGUGAAGAGAGUAGAAUCAUAAAUUUUCUCUUAUUGCCUAAAGGAAUCACAUGUUAUAUCCCAAAUUAAGCUUCAUGUCUUAUUGUAAGUAUCCAUGCAUAACACUAUAAAACACAUAAAAAAUUGUAGAUUCAUCUCUAAUUGACUAAAGAAUAAUAAUACUAGUUAAUCCAUAAGAACAGUGUCACGUACCUUUCGUAAGGAGAUAUUCUCAGUCCUUGCCGCUUCACCUGGCUACCAAUUACCGGUAUUCCAAAACAGUAAUAUUAUGCAAAAGAAAGGGAGCACAAAAAAAAAAAAUUAAUAAAUGAAGGAAAAAAAAGAGAAAAAACGAAAUGAAAAUAAAGUAGGGAUAAAAAGGAAUAAAUUGUCCAAUCAUAAUCCAUUUAAAUGGUUGCAGAAAAGAAAGCACGAAUUCAUGGCUAGUGUACAUAACAACAGCUGUAUCCGUACAAUGGAAAAAAUCUUUUUUUCUCAGUCCUUGUCGAUUCAAAAGUUUAUUUCAUUACUUUAAGACAAAACUGUACGUGGUACGUAGAUGACUAUAGAAAUUAAGAAAAAGGUAAUAAGCUAUAAAUAAUUAUACAAAACCAAAAGUAAAUUCGAUGCCAAAAGACAAUACCGAAAAUUGGAGAAAGUUGUCCUUGAAAAUUGAGCUGCGCUUCAGCUUGAUUAGAACUUUGCAAAGUCUCUGAUUAGCAAUAGGCAAGAAGAUGAAGAUAAAAAACAGAAUUUGGCAAGUCAAGCAUCUUGAUGAGUUAAAUAAAAACAUUUUAUUCCAAGGUGACAGAUGCACGUAUUCUUUGCUGCUUUCACCAUGAAAGUUAAUGAGAAGCUAAAGGAAAAAAAAAUGCCAAAAGUAAAGCAAGGUUGAUGAAGAUGAUAAUAAAGGAAUGUUGUGUUCCCAAGAAAUUCCUUCCUUAUUUCCUUAUUUUUCCCUUUGCCUUUUUACUUUUUUUUUAAAAAAAAUUAUUUAUUAAAAUUGUGUUGCAAGAGUGAGGCUGUCAGGUGACGUUUAUAUCUGUUUCUAAAUUAAAUCUCCUUGACGUGGCCUCACAAAAAAUUGAAUCACUCAUUGAGGGAGUGACAAUUUAAGGCCGUAAAAAUCAGUCACAGAUUGUUUGAUGAAGUUGAUUUACUUUAUUAUCAUCUUCAUCAACCUUGCUUUACUUUUGGCAUUUUCUUAUUUUUCCCUUUUCCUUUUUACUUUUUUUUUUAAAAUUAUUUAUUAAAAUUGUGUUGCAAGAGUGAAGCUGUCAGGUGACGUUUAUAUAUGUUUCUAAAUUAAAUCUCCUUGACAUGGCCUCACAAAAAAUUGAAUCACUCAUUGAGGGAGUGACAAUUUAAGGCCGUAAAAAUCAGUCACAGAUUGUUUGAUGAAGUUGAUGUAUGCCUCCUUAACAUGAUAAUGAGCACAUAUGAUAACAUAUAUACGUGAGUAAACUAUUAAGUAAAAUUAAUGAACGUGUGGGUACCUCUUAUUUAGCUUUCACAGAUUCAUUGUGGUUUACUUAAAAUCUUGUAGCAAAAAGGAAACACUCACGCAUAUUAAGUGGACUCUAACAUAACCGAACUCAAAAUUCAUUAUUAGUUUCGGUUUGGUUGGGUUAACUCUAAAACCCAUUUGGGUUAAUUUUCGUAACUUGAACGAGUUACAAUUCAAAUCAGUUUAAAAUCAACGAAAACAAAUGAAAAAUAUCUCAAUUAAAAUCACCUAAUCCAACCUCCUCCUCAAUUAAAACAACCUACAAUCGUCCUUGAAGCCACGAAGGGGAAGCAACUGCACCUUCCCUUCGUCCUUGAAGCUGUAAUCGUCUUUACGCUGACGUUAAUAUCCCACAUCAGGUGAGACGCAGCUGCUCUUGCCUGCUACUAUAGCUACUAUAUAUUUUUGGACCAAGAGCCCAAUUAGGUAACAGAAUUUGGGCUUUGUUUAAAGAUUUACGAAUUUUACAGUCAUGUCCAAUAUUUUGAAUAAUUUAUACAUAUAAUGUAAUCAAUUUUUUUUCUCUCUUUUGAAGCCAAAAGGAGCAUUUUUUGCGGUAUUACUUUGCAGGCAUCCACUAGCGGUAGAUGCUCAUUUAUUGAUGUCGAGUGUUGAUCACCCGUCUAUUAGUGGUGAAUACAGUAGAAACCUAUCUAUCAACGAUUACUACCAUCCUACUGUGAGGUAAGGUUGGAAAAAGGUUGGGUUGGAUCAUGUUUGCAAAAAUCUAACCCAAUCCGCUAUUAAUGACUACAAGAAAUUUGUCAAAGUAAGGGGGUAUGUGAGGAGCAAGACAAAAAAGGAUGAGCACGAGAUAAUACGAGCAAUACACAAACCUAGAGUGCAAAAGAGGGAAUGAAUAUGAAUAUGAAUAUUCUUACCAUCAAUAGGAGCUACUUGACCCUAGUUAUCUCCAACAAAAGAAAUUUAUUUUUUCAGUCAUCACUCGAGGUGGGGAUGUUGGUUGUGAUCCUCCUUGUUUUGGUGCUCGUCAUAAAAUAAUAUUGGUGACAGUCCUUGGGGCUACUCCUUAUUUGGUACAAAUGCUUAAUUUCAUCAACACUAGGCUCUCCUUGCUCGCACUUACUCCAUAAAAUGAAUAGACUAGAGAACACUCUCUAUCCUUUCGGGUUUAAUUGACUAGGAGCCAAAUUCACCCUACCCAGUAUUCGAAUUAAUUAGGAUUGCAGGGCAAGCUUAACACCCAUAUUAAAAUAUUAUAAGUACAACGUUACAUAUCCUCUAAGAGGAUGAUUAUGUGUAUCUUUCAGACUUGACACCUUAAGAUAUAUGUCUUUAGGUAUAUCAUAAGCCUCCCGAAGUCUAUCUAGAACACUUUCCUUAGUACUAUACUUAAUUCGUCUGUGGAGUAAGAUUCGACAUGACACCACUGAAUUUUCUCUUUUUGGCUAGUUGAGCCUCUUAUAUUGAGUUUUCCCCGCUACUAGUGCUCCUUGCUCUAUUUUCACUAGGAGUUCGAUUAGAAGUCGUGUCCUCACCCUCAUCCUCGUCAUUUGACCCACUAGCCUCAGUAGUUAUUCUUUUCGAAGAAUCAUUCGAGAAAAGAACAAACAAGCUUUAGAAAGAUCUUCAAGGCAUAAAAUGCUGGUGACUUGUUAUAUUUACAAUUAACAAUAAAAGAACAUAAAUAUUACCCUUUUUAUUCCACUAAUUAUAGCAAAGAAUUCUUUUAAAUAAGUAAUACGGUACAGAUUCACAAGCUCAACAACAGACGAGGACCAAAAAGAAAAGGCAUUAUUAUAAUGAAUUAACGUUUAACUCGAAAUUGCAAUUACUCACAACUACUGGUACAAAUAGACCUGUAGAACCUAAUAGCAGAUGGUUUAAAGGGAAUAGUAGGUUUAAAAGUCCUACGCUUCAGAUGCAUAAAGGUGAUAAAUUUGAUUUGAAUUGCGAGAUUAACAGCUUAAUUUGUGAAUACUUGCAACUGGGCUUACUUGCUUUGUUUGUUUUUGUUUAAAUGUUUCAAAAAAUUGAACUGUUUGGAAUUUACGGUUGUGCUUGAUUAGUUGAAAAUACGUUUAUGCAAUGAAGGUUAAUUUCUUUAAUAUUUUCAACAAGUUUUUAUGAAUCUAUUGUUGUGUUUUUAUAAAAAUUCUGUAUAUUAUAAUGAUUUGUAUCUGUUUGUAAAUUGCAGAGAUAGUGGACUUCUGUGAUUUUCUAUCUCCAACUUCAGAGGAACGAGAGGUUCGCACCACUGCAGGAGAAGCUGUGCUUGAUCUUUUUAAGUAUACAUGGCCCAAGUGCAAGGUAUGAUAAGAUGCUAUCUCUUUCUUUUUGUCUGUGCUUUCUCUGAUUUUGUGGUAGGCAUGGUUGUCUUACUAAUGUUGCUUUAUAGCCUAAAGUUUUUGGGACCUUCAGAACUGGGCUUUAUCUUCCAACCAGUGAUAUCGAUGUAAGUAUGAUGAUUUUUCUGCAUCUCCUCUUUGUGAUUUUAGGAACUUUUUUCAGUGAUUUAUCAUUUUCUUCCUCUAUUGUAAUGUGAAACAUAAGAAUCUAUGUUGUCUAGUACUGGCGUUGAUCAGUUUAAUUAAUUAUUAUCUUAAUUAAGGCUUUCGCUGAAAGCUUUGGUUCUAGGUUGUGAUUAUGGAAUCUGGUAUCCAUAACCCAGCAACUGGUUUGCAAGCUCUUUCUAGGGCAUUAUUGCAACGGGGCAUUGCCAAAAAGAUACAGGUGGAAUUCCCUUAACAAUUACCUUGUUUUGGUUUUUUUAUUUAUUAAUAGAAUAAUUUUUAAUGAAUUGAUCUAUCCUCUUUUUAGGUGAUCGCGAAGGCUCGUGUGCCGAUUGUUAAAUUUUUCGAGAAAAAAAGUGGUGUUUCAUUUGAUAUAAGGUUUAUUUCUUACCUUACGCACCAGCUGCAUCUAAAGCCUACAUUGCAAAUUUCAUGUGUGUGAUUUUGCCUUUGUUGACAUCUUAAUUUGAGCAUGCUGGGGUCUUGUUGGAGAUUUAAGGUUUGGUGGUCUACAGUUGAACGGUUGAAGUUGGUUUCUGUAAUUCAAGUUAUGGCAAGAAUGUUUUAGUCUGCUCUAAGAAAUUGCUGCAAGUGGGACCUAUUUUCCAUUGCCAUGCUUAGUAGGGUUUAUUAAUAAUGAGUGAGUGUGUAGAGAUAUUUAUGUGCAUCUCAUAUAGAGGGAUAUGUGCGUUAUCCACUCAUCCUAUCAUUGUUCCUGCUUGAUCAGAACUGUAUCUUCUCUGCCUUCCAUUGGUCUCUGAUCAUUUCGGUUAUCCCGAUGUCAGUCAUUUGUGGCUAUCCUAAGAACUUGGCUUGUUUGUCUUCAUUGAUUUUAACUUCUUGUUUAGUCGCGUUGCUUGCUAGUUUUGACUCUUUCUGUAUUUUUCAUCUUUGAAAGUACUUUUUCCUGUUAAAAGAAAAAUAAAGUCAUAAAAUUUAUUUUUUCUGCAUUUGUACAGAGAUUAACAUUCUUUUUCCUUGUAACUGUAACCAAAAAGAAGCAAAUGAUGAUAAUUAGGAAAGAAAGGGCACUGUUCCAUUUUCGACAUCUAUAAAUUAUAUUGGUUUUAACUGUUAUUGUUACUUAAUGGGUUUGUUGGAGACGUGGUUUUGUUGGUGGAGGAUUGAACAUAAGCUUACUUCUUAAUACAUAAAUUAUACCAGAUUAACAAUUUAAUGUGCACGCACACAAAUACAAAUAGUUGAUUUUCUAAUUUUAUUUUUUAUUUUAAAUUGAUUAUUUUAAAAAAAUCUAUAAGAAACAUUUCAGCGAGAUGUUGAAUACCAGAAUCAAUCAAGAUGUUACCUGUUCAGGCUUCAAAAUGUGAUAUUAGUAACCAACGCUUUUGAUGCGCUGUGUUUGUGCCGUCACCUUUUCCUUUUUCUUCUCUUGCUUAGUUUCUGGGUGUUUCUAAUUACAUUUAGCUAUGCAUGAUAGUACAGAAAAAUCAUUUUAGUGAGUCACAUGUGUGUUGAUUUGAUAUCUUGCUCAUUUCUUUUACAUAUUGGUGUUGUGGACUGGGGAAGUGAGAGUGCUGUAUGUUGAGAACAUCUCACUGCUGUCUUCAAUGAGUGAAGGGGCUCAUAUUCAUCAUAUUACUGAAAUUGGUCUGAAAAUAGAUUUAUUGUACAUUAUCAUCAGCUAUGAACUCCAUUUUGUUGUCGGGAAUAUUCAUCAAUUUUCUUCCACUUUGAUGACAGUUUUGAUGCACAAAAUGGACCAAAAGCAGCUGAGUUUAUUAAGGUUUGUUCCUCACCUAUCUUUUUACGGGACCUGAUAGCGGUUGCAAUUCUUUAAUAAAUUUCAGAUGAGAAAAUUUUUUGCAACUUUGAAUAUUACUUGUGCAUUACUCAUUGGGUUUUGAACAUCUCUCGGAUAAGGCUUAGCAUGCUAUAACCAUUAGUUGUAUUAGGUUCUACAGUUUACUUGCUCUCAUAAAUGCAUGUUGAUGUGGAAAAAAGAUGAGAAAUGUGUGGAAAUCCUUGGUAGAAUGCGAAAUUUUUGUUGGAAAUUGUGAAUAUCACUGUGGCAUUUUAUAUGUUUGCACGGAAUUGAUUAUCUUGAAGUUAUUAAAGGAGAAAGAAGAUAUACUUGUAUAAUCUUGUGAAUUUUUAACUUAUUAGCCUCCUUUGUUAUCACUGAGUACCAAGAUAUUUUUGGACUUGUUUGGUGAGUUUGCUUGGUGUCUCCAUCAUCCUACUUCUUGGGCCAUUUUUGGGAUCUUGUCAUCAGUUUUGUAUUGCUGGUCUCUUUUUUUUAUUGUAGUUGUGCUUCACCUGAUUGUAGUUCUGCUUCACCUAAUAAUUUGGUAUAAAGAUUAUGCAUUUUGUUACUAUUAUUGUGAUGAUGAAUGUUUAGUUUUGGCUUUUCAGAUUUACUCUGUAUUUUGUUAAAAUUUAUUUCGUGUCCUGACAAGAUUAAACUCUAUAUGCUUUACGAAUUUACUGGUAAAAUGUUAUUUCUUUAUGCGUUGCUGUAUCUUUGUUUUCAAACUCAAACGCUUUAUAAAAAAUAAGAAAUUCAGUACAACAUAUUUUAUAAAUUUUUAUCCAUUUAAUGUGUGCACUAUUUACUCAGGAUGCAUUGGCUGAGUGCCCGCCAUUACGUCCAUUAUGUUUGAUCUUGAAAGUCUUUUUGCAGCAGAGAGAAUUGAAUGAGGUUAGACUUUGAUAGUGCUGUCCAUUCUUUAAGGCUUUCUGUUAUUACAAGUUGUUUAAUUUAUAUUUCUUUGAACUGUAUAGGUAUAUUCUGGUGGAAUUGGUUCCUUUGCUCUCCUUACCAUGAUAAUGGCAGUCUUGAAGGUAAGUUUAUGUUGUAUUCUUGGUUUUCACCUCGAUAGGCCCUGUAAUCUCACGGUUGGCGUUACCCUAUGAUAUGUUUUUGUCUUUCUAUCAUCAUUGUCUAAUCAAAGGACAAUUUGUAAUUAUUUUUUAAUAUUAGUUUAAGAUUAAGAUUUGGGAAUGAGACCUGAUGUGGCUCUGAAAGAUAUUUAUUCCUGGAACUUAGAGAGCUAGCUAAAGUUUGUUCCUUGCAUCUCUUCAGUUAUAUUUCAAUACCUGAAACUGCAUCAGAGUUCUGCAUACUUAACUGCAUCCUUCUUUUAGUAAAUUGAAAUGAAGUGUAAUAUGGUUCCUGGCAAACCUUAAAGUUAUGUUCACGAACAACUAGGUCCACUGUGUGUCAUCAGUUCUGCACUGUAAAUGUCCCAAUACAUGGUUUUUAUGGUAAUUUAUGUCAUUGUGAAGAGCUCCUACGAAUCAGAGUAUAGUAGGUUCAUUCCAGUACCAUUGUGACAAUCAAGCAGCGAGCUCGUCAGUGAAAGUGGUGGGCUGGGGUGAAGACUUAAAGUAAUUGAUGCAUAACCUUAAAAAAAUCCCCUUCUCCCUAUAUUAAAUUUUGAAAUAAGUCUUCAAAAUCCUUCAUUCUCUUAGCCCAUAUGCCGGGCGCGCCAUUUUUUAAUAAUACCAGUCCUAAAUUUCAACAAAGACUAUUGUCUCGUGAUUUUUUUGUUUCCCUUUUGACUGGACUAAUUUGGCAGUUGAUGCAGACAGUGUUCUGUGGUUAUUAAUCCAGUCUGCUUAAGAGUUGCCAGACCUUAAGAAUAUAUAUAUAUAUUAAUAGCCUUCAAUUCUUAUAAUCGCUCCAAGUGAACUAUUCAUUAAUUCACCAGCAUUAUGCAUUAUAAUGGACAUUUUUUUUUUCUCAGAUAGUUAAUGAUGUUCCUUAUAUGGCAUAUUUGCAGUCUCUCUACAAGUGUCGAGCUUCUCCAGAACAUAAUUUGGGAAUCCUUUUGGUAUGUGCUUGGAUUAAACUGUUGUGUGCAUGGAUAUGUUGUUCUUCCAGUAGGUGCAGUGACUUACAUUUCUAAGCCAGCUUGAUCACACCUCUAGUGAGGUUGGACAUGUUCAUUGCACAUGCAAAUGCUAAAAAAGAAUGAUUUAACAUUAAAAUAAAUGGACUAAGGAAUGCUGUUUGUCAGCCAUAAUUGUUGUAAAUUGAGAUAUAUGAACUCUUCGUACUAACCUCUCUUCUUUUUCUUUUUUUUUUUUUAAUUUGGUGAAAAAACAGGUGAACUUCUUUGAUUUUUAUGGACGCAAAUUGAAAACCACCGAUGUUGGUGUAUCCUGCAAAGGGGCAGGCUCCUUCUUUAAGAAGAGUAGCAAAGGGUAAAAAGAAUGACAAUCAUGCCGACUACACUUAUUUUUCAGUUAAAAAUUAUAUUUUCUGAUUGGUAGGUACUAACUGUCUUUGUUUCAUGGGUUCUCUUCUUUUAGGUUUACAAACAAGGGGCGACCAUUUCUCAUCGCCAUUGAGGAUCCACAGGUUUACUUUUAAUUUUAGAUAUUUAUUUGUUAUUUAUUGUUUGUAGGACAGCUUGAGAAACAAUAGGAGGAAUGGAGGAUGUUUUAUGAAAUCAAAAUAUUUGCUUUUCUGAUGUUUUCAUUUUACUUUAAGUGCUUAGUUGGAUAUGUUCCCAAAAGAAAUUGUGGUUGGUUUUUUAUGAAGCUCGUAGUGAAUUCUCAAACAGGGAUCUUGUUAUCCUUGGCACAUCACCUCAUUUUACAAUUUAUCAACAGAUUAAAGAGUAUAUGUAGUAUUUUGUGAGUCACUUGUUUGAUUUGUCAAUAGCACAUGAAUUUAUUUAAUGGAGUUCUGCCAGUGAACAUUGGCUCUUGCAUUCUUCUGUUAUUGAUUAGUAUUGCUAUCUUUAUGACAAAAUAGGCUCCAGAUAAUGCCAUUGGGAAGAACUCCUUUAAUUAUUUCCAGGUUUGUGGAAUAAUUUGUGUCUAAAUUCCUUUUGUUUUCUUGGCUAUUGAUGCAGUGUGCAUGAUGUUUGUUCUCUUUUGCAGAUUAAAUCAGCUUUUGCAAUGGCAUUUACAACCUUGACAAAUCCAAAGACCAUCUUGAGCCUAGGCCAAACAGAAGCAUUCUUGGUACAAUAAUUAGGCCAGACCCAGUCUUGCUGGAGCGCAAAGGAGGAUCUAAUGGUGAGAUAACUUUUAACAGCUUACUUCCUGGAGCAGGGGAGCCAUUAAAAACACACUUUGGAGAUCAGCGGGAGAUUAUGUGCAAUUGGCAGUCAGAUUAUGAAGAAGAGUCAUU
rnacentral:lncRNA from 1 species